rnacentral:lncRNA from 1 species
GUAUAGCUUCUAGUCACCUGGUGUAUCUAGGAGGAGACAUCUCCAGGUGUGUGAUUGUUCAUAUCAGAAAAGAACUGACUUUAUGUACUCAUUCAUAUCAGAAGAUAAAAGGUCUUCUCUUGCUGAGAAAUUGGCAGAGCUGUGAAGUUCUGAGUGUGACCAGAAAAGGAACUUACCACUGCAUGAAUACCGAGAGAGAAAGAAACUACACAUUUCAGAGGGUUGAGUGGGGGCUCCCGCACACCUAAAACACCCGGAGAAAACAGGCAAUGAGGACUACUACAGCUCUACUCAGACACUUCUUUCAACCCAACCUCUGGGUGCACACGUUAAGGGCCUUCGACUCAGCAGGUGGAAAACCCAAGACCUACAGAGUCCCAAGAGAACAUGUCCAGCUGGUGGCCAAGGGGAUGGGGAGCCCCUGUCGGCUGUGCAUUGCCUGGUGCCCUUUACAGUUUGCACGCUGUCCCUCCUGGCCAGGAUCGCAAGCUACAUCAUAGGUUACGCAUGGAUUAUGUACAUAUUGACUAAUAAGAAAAUAAAUAGCACGUCUGAGAAAAAUACAUCACGCGGAGAAAGUAGGAUGAAGUCAUUACAACCAUCAAUGGCCAAGAGACUGGAGGAAGCAAACAUCGUCUGGUCAGGUGAAGUUUUUAUAAGAAGGCUCACGUUUCAAAUGCCUUCCUCCAGUAGGAAAUAAACAUUAAUAAUAAGGACUGAGAACAUUUCUGUGUAUUGUAGAAAAGCAGAGUAUAUAGUUAACCACACAUACCUCACAGUCUUGGAAAAUUAUGCAUUAUUUAGAAAAGGGAUUAAAAAUAUCUCCAACUUGCAAGUGUUCAACCUCUCACCCCUUGGGAUUGCACAGGGAGGGUGCUGAUAUCCUUUUCCACUGCUUCAUGGUCUCUGAGGAACAGACCCAUGGCAUUAGUCAGCAGUUUCUGAAUGUUGACCCACAAUAGGAAAGACACCUCGAGACAGGAGAAAUAGAUGGAGGUAAUUACAAACAGCUACUUGAUGGAUGGUUGACAUUGUCGGGGCUCCAGUGUACGGCAGAUUGCGAUGGUGUUGAACUCCCCUUGUACCAGUGGAUGUUGCUAUUGGCAACCGUGCAGUGAAGCCAAUAAAAAGGCAAGAAAAUGAGACGAGAGCUCA